AAUGAACGCUGGCGGCGUGCCUAAUACAUGCAAGUCGAGCGAACAGACGAGGAGCUUGCUCCUCUGACGUUAGCGGCGGACGGGUGAGUAACAAGUGGAUAACCUACCUAUAAGACUGGGAUAACUUCGGGAAACCGGAGCUAAUACCGGAUAAUAUAUUGAACCGCAUGGUUCAAUAGUGAAACACGGUUUUGCUGUCACUUAUAGAUGGAUCCGCGCCUCAUUAGCUAGUUGGUAAGGUAACGGCUUACCAAGGCAACGAUGCGUAGCCGACCUGAGAGGGUGAUCGGCCACACUGGAACUGAGACACGGUCCAGACUCCUACGGGAGGCAGCAGUAGGGAAUCUUCCGCAAUGGGCGAAAGCCUGACGGAGCAACGCCGCGUGAGUGAUGAAGGUCUUCGGAUCGUAAAACUCUGUUAUUAGGGAAGAACAAAUGUGUAAGUAACUAUGCACGUCUUGACGGUACCUAAUCAGAAAGCCACGGCUAACUACGUG
rnacentral:rRNA from 1 species